AUUGAACGCUGGCGGCAGGCCUAACACAUGCAAGUCGAGCGGAUGAAGGGAGCUUGCUCCUGGAUUCAGCGGCGGACGGGUGAGUAAUGCCUAGGAAUCUGCCUGGUAGUGGGGGAUAAAGUCCGGAAACGGGCGCUACUACCGCAUACGUCCUGAGGGAGAAAGAGGGGGAUCUUCGGACCUCACGCUAUCAGAUGAGCAUAGGUAGGAUUAGCUAGUAGGUGGGGUAAAGGGCUUCCAAGGCGACGAUCCGUAACUGGUCUGAGAGGAUGAUCAGUCACACGGGAACAGAGGCAGGGCCCAGACACCUGAGGGGAGACGCAGUGGAGAAUAUUAGAGGAGGGAGCAAUGCGGAAUCCAGCCAAGUCGCGGGUGUGAAGAAGGUGUUCGGAUUGGAGAGCAAUUAAGGUUGGUGGGAAGGGCAGUAAGUUAAUACCGGGCGAUUUUGACGUUACCAGCAGAAUAAGCACCGGCUAACUUCGUG
rnacentral:rRNA from 1 species